AACCACAUCGCCCGACCGUGCUCUUUAUUUUUCGGUGGAGCAGGAACCCGUGGCAUUGGAAGAUGUCAGAGACAUGGCACAUGGAUGUGAUCUUCAAAAACUGUUACAGCCUCAUCUCAUUGGAUUGGUCUACACAUCAAGGUGCUGGAAGUGUCGCAUGCCCAGAGAUGAUGUGGAAGCUCUAUACCCCUUUCCCUUCUGCCCACCUUGCCCUGUGCAUCUCUUCCUGAAUGGCUUCUCCUGAAUUGUAUCCUUUAUAAUAAACUGGUAAAUAGGAAAGAGAUAAUAUCUUCUACUUAAUCCUGGAUACUAUAUCUGAAGUCAGAGCAUCCACUCCAAAGCAGAGAAUUUCUGAAAAACAAAAUAAUGUCAUCAUAUGAUGUUAGAAUUUUUUUUCAAAUGAUGGUUCCUAAUACUUCACAUUAGAAGAACUCGAAUUUGAUGACCAGUUUGAGAAACACCAGUAUAUCCAGAUUACAAGAAAAAGCGAGUCAAAAGGAUGAUCAUGAAUAUAACAACUUCGAGGAAACAUUUAACCAAAGACCAAAGCUUUUUAAACAACUGAGAGUUUUUAUAAGAAAAAGACCUCAUACAGUAGUCCCCACUUAUUCAUGGGGGAUACAUUUCAAGACCCACAGAGAAGGCCUGAAAUCACUGAUGUACCAAACCCUAACCAGGUUCUUAGGAUGAGCUACUAAAUGACAAAUGGGUGGGUAGUACAUAGAGUGUAGAUACACCAGACAAAGAAAUGAUUCACAGCCCAGGCAGGACAGAGCAGAUCACACAAGAUUUCAUCACAGUACUCAGAAAACCACACCAUUUAAAAGUUAUGAAUUGUUUAUUUCUGGAAUUUUCCAUAUAAUAUUUUUGACCACAGUUUCCCAUGGAUAACUGAAACCAUGGGAAGUGGAACUGUGGAUAAGGCAGGACUACUGUAACUAUGACAUCAAUGGUAGGAACCUGAAGCAUAAUUCUGCUGUAGUGGAUUUUUUCAAAAGAAACUCAUGAAUGAAAAAUAAUUUAUUAGAUAUAAGAAAGGAUGCAUUUGUAUCUCAAACUUUACUUAUUCUGGAAAUAAAUGAAAAGCCAACACCUAUUACAUACCGACAAAAAUGAAAAAAUAAAUAAAUGUAAAGCCAUAGUUCAGUACUGAUGGAAUCUGAGAAAAUUUAUAUGACCGCGAACCCAUAUCUCUGUACUGAAUGUGGGAAAGGCUACACUUGUCUUGCAUCCCUGACCCAGCAUCAGAAAACACAUAUUGGAGAAAAACCUUAUGAAUGUAAAAUAUGUGGUAAGUCCUUUACCCGGAACAGUAAUCUUGUUCAACAUCAAAGAAUACAUACUGGAGAGAAACCUUAUGAAUGUAAUGAAUGUGGGAAAGCUUUUAGUCAGAGCACUAAUCUUAUUCAGCAUCAAAGAGUCCAUACUGGGGAGAAACCUUAUGAGUGUAAUGAAUGUGAAAAAACCUUUAGUCAUAGGUCAUCCCUUAGAAAUCAUGAGAGAAUCCAUACUGGAGAAAAACCCUAUCCUUGUAAUGAAUGUGGGAAAGCUUUCAGCCAUAUCUCUGCCCUUACUCAACAUCAUAGAAUUCAUACUGGAAAGAAACCAUAUGAAUGUACUGAAUGUGGAAAAACCUUCAGCCGCAGCACACACCUAAUUGAACAUCAGGGAAUUCAUUCUGAGGAAAAAUCCUACCAGUGUAAGCAAUGUCGGAAAGUUUUUUGCCACAGUACAUCACUAAUCCGACAUCAGAGAACCCACACAGGAGAGAAACCAUAUGAAUGUAAUGAAUGUGGGAAAGCUUUCAGCCAUACCCCAGCCUUCAUUCAACAUCAAAGAAUUCAUACUGGAGAAAAACCCUAUGAGUGUAAUGCAUGUGGAAAGGCCUUCAAUCGGAGUGCACAUCUUACUGAACACCAGAGAACUCAUACUGGAGAGAAGCCCUAUGUUUGUAAAGAAUGUGGAAAAACCUUCAGUCGAAGUACACACCUUACUGAACAUCUAAAAAUUCAUUCUUGUGUGAAACCCUAUCAAUGUAAUGAAUGUCAGAAACUGUUUUGCUAUAGAACAUCACUAAUUCGACAUCAGAGGACGCAUACAGGAGAGAAACCCUACCAGUGUAAUGAAUGUGGGAAAUCCUUCAGCUUAAGCUCAGCUCUAACUAAACAUAAGCGAAUACAUACAAGGGAGAGACCCUAUCAAUGUACUAAGUGUGGUGAUGUCUUUUGUCAUAGUACAUCCUUAAUUCGACAUCAGAAAACUCAUUUCAGAAAGGAAACCUUAGCAGAGUAAUGAGUGUGGGAAAGCCUGCAGUCAGUCGUAGGUUAUUGUUUACACCUGAGCACUCACAGUUCAAGCAACCCUAGGAUUGUUAUGUGAGGAAAAUCUUAGGCAAAACACUCAUUUACUUAAUAUGCUAUUUGUACUGAGAAGAAGGACUAUGCUUAUAAUCUAAAAAAGGUGUUAUUGAAAGAGAAAGUUAUAAUGGAAGUGUUCAUCCAAAACUGAGGUUUGUUUUUUAAAGACAUUUAGAAAGUUACUUUCAGAGAUAAUUUAUUAAAAUGUAUAUAUUUGCUUAUAAAAAAACUUUUUUUUUUUUUUUUUUUUUUUUUUUUUUUUUUGAGACGGAGUCUCGCUCUGUCGCCCAGGCUGGAGUGCAGUGGCGCGAUCUCGGCUCACUGCAAGCUCCGCCUCCCAGGUUCACGCCAUUCUCCUGCCUCAGCCUCCCGAGUAGCUGGGACUACAGGCGCCCGCUACCACGCCCGGCUAAUUUUUUGUAUUUUUAGUAGAGACGGGGUUUCACCGUGUUAGCCAGGAUGGUCUCGAUCUCCUGACCUCAUGAUCUGCCCGCCUCGGCCUCCCAAAGUGCUGGGAUUACAG
rnacentral:lncRNA from 1 species